CCUCUCUCUCCUAGGCCUUUAUGAAUAGCUUCUCUCGGGCUGUGGCCUUGGAAUACCAGUCCUCUGGAGUUAUCAUACAGACUCUUACUCCUCUGGCAGUUUCCAGCAACAUGAGCCAGAUGCACCCACAAAAUUCUUGGUGAAGUCUUCAGAUGACUUUGCCAGAGAAGCCUUGGACUGUAGGCGUCUCUAACUUCACCUGGGGGUGUUUCCUACACUCUGUCCACGGUUUGUUGCUGUGGCCCCUGAACUCCAACUUCAAAUUCAUCAUCCCGACUCUGAUGUUCUUCUACUCUCUGUUCAAUGCAUCCAGAAGAUCCUGAAGAAGUUGUGGGAAGGAGGGGGGCUCAAUUGGAGGCCCUUUGUCGGGGGAGGGGUGAUGACUGCUGCUGGUGGUGGGAAGAGGGGGGCAAACAGAGGGGUUUCCUCUGCUUGGCUCAUCCCUCUGUCCUGCUUUCUAGGGUCCCUUUGAGGAGAAACCCUAGCCCUGAGAAGCUGUAGCUGUAACUUGUUAUAAUAAAUUGUUUUCCCUUUA